rnacentral:lncRNA from 1 species
GGCUAACGGGGCUAACGUUUCUAUUCUUCUAGCAUGAAGAAUGGCCUUGUGCUGUGCAGAAACUCUUGCAAGUGGAAAGUGGAGCUGUCUGGGAAAAGAAAGGGGCUGUAUUUGAAACCUGUUUAUCUGAUAAAGGAUAGAGAGGGCAGCUAAGAGUCAGGCAGCCAUUCCCCAUCAAGGAACCGCAGGUUCCCUGUGGAAGAUACUGGCAGCUCUGCAGCUCACCUUACAACAGCCAGGAACCAAAGGGAGUGUUUCAAGGGCCCUGAUACUAUUAUUGAUUCCUGAUGGUUGCUAUUUUGCAUUUUUUUACAGAUAUUCCUACACUGUAUAAACAAGCGAUCAGCUUGAACCAACUGGAGCCAACAGUAGCUGUAUAAAAAUGAGUAUUGAUAACAUCAAAAUAGAGGGCUGCUGUGACAUGGUUAAAGGACAUCUAGCCACAGCUGAUCCAAGGCUUUUAAGGAGCAUUGAUGAGCUGCAAAGGAUCACCUCUCAGAGAUGCUCAAGGAUAGGAAAUGCAUCAUUAAGAGUGGCCAAAAGAAGGUGAGAGGAGCCAUGUAUAGAUGAAACUACUUUAUGGCAAGUCCACCCACCUGGAGACCCUUGGUCAUGUCAAUGGUACCAUAUAGCAACUUGAAUUAGAGAUGGCUGGAAGAUCUUGUGUGAAUAAUAAAAACAUGAACCUGUUACUUGAAGGACUCA